rnacentral:rRNA from 1 species
UACGAAGGGGGCUAGCGUUGUUCGGAAUUACUGGGCGUAAAGCGCACGUAGGCGGAUAUUUAAGUCAGGGGUGAAAUCCCAGAGCUCAACUCUGGAACUGCCUUUGAUACUGGGUAUCUUGAGUAUGGAAGAGGUAAGUGGAAUUCCGAGUGUAGAGGUGAAAUUCGUAGAUAUUCGCAAGAACACCAGUGGCGAAGGCGGCUCACUGGCCCGGUACUGACGCUGAGGUGACGAAGCGGUGGGAGCAAACAGGGAUUAGAAUCACCUAGUAC